AAAGAUACAAGCUAAGACAAAUGGCUUCAAGGAAUGAGAGUCUUCAGGUACUGACAUUGGUCUAUCAACAUGUCACACUCUGAACAUUUUGGCAAAGGAGUGAGCUUCUCCUUCAGUUGCCUUCUGAGCUCCACAACUUCUCCUCCAAGUUGGCUCUCUGAUGCAUGUCUCAAGUCUACUUCCUUCUUCAACUGGAUGUCUUUGUCUCUAAGUUGCUUCUCCAAGUCUCUUAUCUUCUUCUGAUAACACCACAACUUCUCCUCCAAGUUGGCUCUCUGAUGCAUGUCUCAAGUCUACUUCCUUCUUCAACUGGAUGUCUUUGUCUCUAAGUUGCUUCUCCAAGUCUCUUAUCUUCUUCUGAUAACUGGCUUCAGCUCUCUGCAACCUCAAGCACUCACGAUGUUCUGCAUUCAACAGGGUCUCCACCUCCUCAUAGGACAUCUUCUUACCCUUCAGUCUAG
rnacentral:lncRNA from 1 species